GAAACAUUCUGAAGAGAGAUUGUGAAACCAGAACAGAUGAUUGUUGUAACACUGUCCCAUUUCAUGCUUGCAGUUACUGUAAAGAAAACAACCUGUAACAUGAGUCUGUGUGAAAC